GCUGGGUGCGGUGGCUCACGCCUGUAAUCCCAGCACUUUGGGAGGCCAAGGCAGGAGUGGAUCAUCUGAGGUCAUGAGUUCAAGACCAGCCUGGUCAACAUGGUGAANUUCACCAUGUUGACCAGGCUGGUCUUGAACUCAUGACCUCAGAUGAUCCACUCCUGCCUU
rfam:Chlorocebus sabaeus isolate 1994-021 chromosome 16, whole genome shotgun sequence.